UACGUAGGGUGCGAGCGUUGUCCGGAAUUACUGGGCGUAAAGCGCUCGUAGGUGGUUUGUCGCGUUGUUCGUGAAAUCCCACGGCUUAACUGUGGGCGUGCGGGCGAUACGGGCAGACUGGAGUACUGCAGGGGAGACUGGAAUUCCUGGUGUAGCGGUGGAAUGCGCAGAUAUCAGGAGGAACACCGGUGGCGAAGGCGGGUCUCUGGGCCGUAACUGACGCUGAGGAGCGAAAGCGUGGGGAGCGAACAGG
rnacentral:rRNA from 1 species